rnacentral:miRNA from 1 species
AUAUAUUGGGGAAGCCAAAAAGCUUGUUCAGGUUUUUCUAUAAGAUGUAAUGUAAACCCAAACAAAUAUUUUUGGCAAACCCAACAU